rnacentral:rRNA from 1 species
AACGAACGCUGGCGGCGCGUCUUAAGCAUGCAAGUCGAACGGCAAGAGAGGAGCUUGCUUCUCUCCUAGAGUGGCGGACUGGUGAGGAACACGUGGGUAAUCUACCCUUAAGAUGGGGAUAGCUGCUAGAAAUAGCAGGUAAUACCGAAUACACUCGGCAUAUCACAAGAGGUGUUGAGGAAAGGAAGCUACGGCUUCGCUUGAGGAUGAGCUUGCGUCCCAUUAGCUAGUUGGUGAGGUAAAGGCCCACCAAGGCGACGAUGGGUAUCCGGCCUGAGAGGGUGAACGGACACAUUGGGACUGAGAUACGGCCCAAACUCCUACGGGAGGCAGCAGCUAAGAAUAUUCCGCAAUGGACGGAAGUCUGACGGAGCGACGCCGCGUGGAUGAAGAAGGCUGAAAAGUUGUAAAAUCCUUUUGUUGAUGAAGAAUAAGGGUGAGAGGGAAUGCUCAUCUGAGGACGGUAAUCGACGAUUAAGCCCCGGCUAAUUACGU